CAUAGCCUUAUGGUAAUAUAAGGUGCUUUCUGCUCAAUGAUUUAAAUAGCCGCAGUACCCUGACUGUGCAAAGGUAGCAUAAUAAAUUGUCCUUUAAUUGGGGUCCUGAAUGAAGGAAAAACGGGGAAACUGUCUUAAAGAUUUUGUUCAAAUUUAUUCAUUAGGUGCAAAUUCCUAUAUAAAUUGAAAGACGAGAAGACCCUAAGAGUUUUUUAUAAUUUUGUUGGGGCGACAUAUUAACAUUAAACUUAAUACUUAUGUAUAUAUAAAGGUAAUAAGUAAACUACCUUAGGGAUAACAGCAUAAUAUUUAGAUUGUGACCUCGAUGUUGGAUUAGGUAAUUUAAAUCAAAAAUGUAAAAAGUUCUGUUCGAACCCUACGUGAU
rnacentral:rRNA from 1 species